rnacentral:piRNA from 1 species
GAUUAACAAACAUUGUGCUCCUCAACAUG